GCUGAUCUUAGUGAAUACCAAUAUUGAAUCGUGCUGCUAUCAGCAAGAUUAUUAAAAUGUCUUUCACAUUUUAAAUCAUUCUUUCAUUGGAAUAUAAGGAAUUGGAUUUGUGAAUCAUUAUAUUGCAUAGAGAUAGCACACAUUCACCGCAUUUUUAAAAGGUAUUAAAUAUACAGUAUGUAGCAUUUUCUUGCAUACUUUUAUACUGCCUGUAUGCCACCGAUGCACUCGGUGCCUUCUUUCUUUUGUAUAAAACUAAUAUGUAGAGAAACUACAGCUCUAGUGUGUAAGCAGUCACUGCAACUGAAGAGAUGUCUUAACCUGAUUAUUCCUAGUAGAGGAGGUUUCAAGUGGCAGUUCAGUCCAACGCAAUUUGAAUUCAGAGUUUUCCCCUUCCCUUCCUCACCCCCCUUUCCAAGAAACCUCCUUAUACGACUGUUUAUUCUUGAUUGAUUCCUGUGUCUGAUGUAGUGUCACGUGGUGUUAACCAAAGAUCCAAGUCUGUUUCUAAUUCUUUGGACAAGUAAUGUUUGGACUUGCUAUUACUUAAAGACAGAAAUGAUAUAAUGGAUCUCUUCGAACAAAUAUAAAAUAGGCUUCUGUAAAUGUGACUCACAGCUGAGAAUUCAAGAUACCUCUUUUCUGACUGGUUGUGUGUUAUUGUAUCACUAGCAAAGUGUUUCAGUUGUAUUUCUUUGUGCACUUUAAUCAAAAGCCCAUCACAAAGCAAAAGCAAAAAUAUAAGUCAGUCAGUGCUGUCAAAUUAGCUUAUUCUACCCAUUUUAUAACUCUAUCUGAAGUGUGCAACACUUGAGAACAGAUUUGGCUUUUCUGUGUCUGGAGUCCUGAUGAUAUAUAAUAACUGUCUAAUGUAUGCUGGUCUUAGAGAAACAGACUCAUGCUGCAUUGUGUGUACAUUUCUUACCAGAGUCUCUUCGUUGUAGAAUUUAUGUGAUAGAACACAGUUUUCAACUACUGUUUCAAUUUGAAAUUCCUUAAAUUUCAAUGCAUGUAUAGCCUUAAACAUUUAAGACACCAAGCACAGUUUUAAUGGGAAUAGGUUAUAUUUGCAAGUCCUGUUUGGCACGGAAGCAAGAGAAUUAUUUUUCUAUCUCAGUCAAAGAUUAUAAACCAUGGGUAUCUUGCAGCAAUGUCGUCAACCAUGCUCCUAAUUAUCUGCAUUUAGGAAGAAGCAUUUUUGCUGAAGUUUUUUGAGGUGAAAUACCAGUGCUUAUUUCCUUUCUUGAAUUUGCUUAUUUUGUUUCCGUACUUUCAUUGCUGUACAGAACCUUGGAGCCCUUGACUAAUGCCCACGUUUGAAUUCACCCCCAUUUUCAGAAUUCCUUGAGCUGCUUUUCUGCUCCAGUUUUAAGUUGAAGAAGCAGUAAUUAAGUCUCAAAUAUUUCUUUUUUUCCAUUUUGACAGUAAUAUAAUUAGAGCAAAUGACCGUUUGCAACUGUUUAUGCAGCUUAUUAAAGUUUAAGGACUUUGUUGGGAACUGUCGUCGUAACCCAGAUGAAGACGUAUGGUUUAUGGCAUUUUGGUCCACAAGCAGGUGAAAACGGGAGUUCUGGCAAUGAAUCUGCAUAUUGGGUGUCAGAUUGUAAAUCGCCAGUGGGGUUUAUAAUGAAGUGUCGCAGUGUAUCUACAGUAUUUCCAGUUAUGUGUUGUCAGAUGCUUGUUGGUUUGUUUUCUUUAUUAUUCCCUAGCAAAAACCUGCUUUUAUCAUUUUUGUGCUCCUGUAUAUUAAUCUUAAGGGUUUCCUGUGUGCAAGUUCAGUUUCAUGUUGUCAUUUCUCUCAUAUGGACUUUCAGCAUAUGCAUCCCAUUACUAUUUUGGGGAGAGGCAGAAUGCCACCAGCUGGUUUUAGUCACACGUACCUGUACAGCACAGGUAACCUUAACCCCAUGUUAGUUUGAUGAAAACAUGCUCUAGUAUAUUUUCAAACUAUGGAUCUGUCACAACAUUAAAAUAGUCAUUUUGUGUAUCUGAAGCUUUGCAGCUGUGGAUUUGUAUUUUGUUUGCUUCCUCUAUUUGUAUUGAUGACUGUGAAGUGUAUUUUUGUCAGUUUGAGGACUGGAAUGGGUAUCCUUCAGUUAUUUCAGAGUAUUUUCUGUACGUGGAAUCAGCUUUUUGCAUGUGAACUUAAUUGCUGGAAAUUAUUUGGGAAAAAAAAAAAGGAGAAAUCACUUUUAAAACCAGUUGUUGUCACUUUCCUUUGGAAUUCAUUAGAUCAUAACCAAGUGGAAUAGGCUUCACUGGAAGAUGGUAGUGCUUGUUCAACCAUUUGAACUGCUGUCUGCAUUAAAGAGAAGAAAACCUGAUUUAAUUCUGGCCACCUAAUCCUGGCCCUUAC
ensembl:lncRNA